GGAUGUGAAGAAUUUAUUUGACACCCAGUCUUAUUUCCGCAUGGAAAAUGGUGAUAAAUCUUUCUAUAUCUGAUCC
rnacentral:snoRNA from 1 species